rnacentral:tRNA from 1 species
GGAUUGUGGCUCAGUGGUAGAGUGCUUGCCUAGCACGUGGGAGGCCCUGGGUUCGAUCUUCAGUACCA